UUGAAUAAUUCAAAUGAUUUCACUCUAUUCACAUGUUUUCAAAAUAUGUGUGUGUACGGUGAUUUUGUGUGUGGUUUUUUUCCUGUUUAAAUUAUUUAAGUCAUUUUGUUGGAUAUGUUCAAGAGCUAAGAGUAACGUGUUUCGGCACGAUUUUCCACAAUGUCUUUCACCAAUUUUUCAAGUGAUUCGCCAUCAACUGUGCUCAAAACAUCCGGCAGCAAUUUUGAAACAUAGUUAUGGAGCAAUUUGGCAGCAUUAAUAUCGUCAGUCGUUUGUUCAUCGAUUUUAUUUGUAUUCAUUUCCAUAUUUUGUUCCGUAUCCAGUCUUUUCAAUUCGGAGUUUUGCGAUUCCCUGAAAGCUAAAUAUUUCUCGGUGUCUCUUUGCAAUUCGGCCAUUUCUUCUUCUUGCAUAAAUUCACUGAGCGCUUGUUUCAUUGAUAUUUCCACUAAAGAGUCCAGAAUUGGUUGAACUUCCUCAUCAAAAUUGUACAAUUCUUCCAUAUUUGUUUCGGUCGCAACAUCAACACCCGAUUUUGAUGACAUGUAUGGCACAUUUGGUAUAUCAUACAAAUACAAAUCGGUUUGACAUUCAACACUGAAAUCGGAUGGCUUAACGAGUAACUCUUCAAGAUAACGUUCCGUUUGGAUUGUUUCAUGGCGUCGACCCUUAACGGGUGGCGGUGUUCCAAUAACACUUCUUUUACUUCGAUUUGAAUAACGUUUUCGUAGCAAUUGACGUCGUUCGGCUUCCGACUCCUUUGACAUCGCAUCAAUAUCACCCUUUAAUUAUAAACAUAUCAAUUAUUUAUUCGCAUUUUCAUACAAAUCCAUUUCUAUCAAAAUAUUGAUCUUGCUAGAUUGAAUAUCGAAUAUGUGAACACUCAGUAAUACUAGAAAUAAUUAUAGCAAUGACUAAAACUACGCCUACAUCUACAAUUAUGCGAUUACUUUUUAUUCGUCCAAUUCAAUAAAUUGACACGGCAAAAGCAUUACUAAAAUUAAAUUUCAACUAAACAGAAUUCGAAUGAACAUCCAAUUGUCCAUUAUUCAACGAAUCAAACAGAAUCAAAAAUGAUCAGAUAGAUCGAAUGCAUAUCACAGACAAUAUCCAUAAUAUAUAUGUCGUGAUUGUGCUAAAUAAAAAGCAUACAUGAUGUUAACACGAUAUGAAUCAUAUGGAGAAAUAAAUACGAACCAAACAAAAUAUGCCGAUUGAAAAUGUUUUGUGUCAUUUGUGUCUAUGCAAAAUAACGAAUUAUUUAAUAAAAAUUUCAUCAAUUUCAUUGAACAGAAGCAGACAA